UGCGCGAUGCCGCCCGCCGGCCUAGAGCGCGCGGCGCGACAGGAAAGGGAAUUCGGAAGCGGGAAGAUCCCGCAAGCCGAAGCUGCCCCCGCAACUGUGAUCGGUGAGCGAUCGUCCAUCUGCGUCACUGGAUGCCUCGGCAUCCGGGAAGGCCGGGCGAGAGCGAUGACCCGAGAGCCAGGAAACCUGCCGGUCGCGGUCGUUCCAU
rnacentral:ncRNA from 2 species